CACGUAGGGCGCGAGCGUUGUCCGGAAUUAUUGGGCGUAAAGAGCUCGUAGGCGGCCUGUUGCGUCCGCUGUGAAAGCCCGGGGCUUAACCCGAGUCUGCCAUGCGAACUGGUGGACUGGAGCACUGUAGAGGCAGGUGGAAUUCCGGGUGUAGCGGUGGAAUGCGUAGAGAUCCGGAAGAACACCAGUGGCGAAGGCGGCCUGCUGGGCAGUGCUGACGCUGAGGCGCGACAGCGUGGGAGCAACAGG
rnacentral:rRNA from 1 species